rnacentral:rRNA from 1 species
CCGGAUGAACGCGAGCGGCGUGCUUAAGCUAUGCAAGUCGAACGGUCCCUUCGCAAGAAGGGAUAGUGGCAAACGGGUGAGUAACACGUAGGUACGUACCUCUAACUCAAGAAUAAUUCCGCGAAAGCGGGACUAAUACUUGAUGGUGUCCCAACUUAACGUUGGGACUAAAGCUCCGGCGGUUAGAGAUCGGCCUGCGCACUAUCAGCUAGUUGGUAGGGUAAUUGCCUACCAAGGCUACGACGGUUAGGGGGCGUGAGAGCGUGACCCCCCACAAGGGCAUUGAGAUACGGGCCCUACACCUACGGGUGGCAGCAAGCGGGAAUUAUGCGCAAUGGGCGAAAGCCUGACGCUGCGACGCCGCGUGAGGGAAUGAAGGCCGUGAGGUCGUAAACCUCUGUGGAAAGGGAAGAUAAUGACGGUACCUUUCUAGAAAGCAGUUGCUAACUACGUGCCAGAAGCCUCGGUCAUACGUAGGCUGCAAGCGUUAUCCGGAUUCAUUGGGCGUAAAGGGUUGGGUAGGCGGUUUAGUGCGUCUAUGGUUAAAUUUCACGGCUCAACUGUGAAAAUGCUGUAGAUACGACUAAACUAGAACAUCUUAGGGGCUGGCGGAACUGUGCAAGGAGGGGUAAAAUCCGUUGAUAUGCACAGGAACACCGAAGGCGAAAGCAGCCAGCUGGGAGAUUGUUGACGCUGAACCACGAAAGCUAGGGGAGCGAAACGGAUUAGAUACCCGUGUAGUCCUAGCCGUAAACGAUGGACACUAGAUCCCUGCGAUUUUUCGUGGGGGUCGUAAGCUUACGCGUUAAGUGUCCCGCCUGGGGAGUACGGCCGCAAGGUUGAAACUUAAAGGAAUUGGCGGGGGUUCGCACAAGCGGUGGAGCGCGUUCUUUAAUUGGAUGCUACGCCAAGAACCUUACCAAGGCUUGACAUGCUAAUGACCACUUACGAAAGUGAGUUUUCCAGCCGAAAGGCAGGACAUUAGCACAGGUGUUGCACGGCUGUCGUCAGCUCGUCUCGUGAGAGGUAGGGUUAAGUCCUACAACGAGCGCAACCCAUAUCGUGUGUUUGUAAUCACUCACACCGAACUGCCCCCGUAACGGGGAGGAAGGUGUGGAUGAUGUCAAGUCAGCGUUGCCCUUAUGCCUUGGGCGAGAANCGCGCUACAAUGGUGUAGACAAUAGGCAGCCACUUCGCAAGAAGGAGCANUCCUCAAAUACACCUCAGUACAGAUUGGGUCUGCACUCGACCCCAUGNGCUGGAUCGCUAGAACCGCGCAUCAGCCAUGGUGCGGUGAUACGUCUCGACAUCAC